CAGAUUUAGCAACUGCACAGACUUAUCUAUACCGUCGUACUCUCUUCGAUACUCUGGAAUUUUGGAGCGGAGAGUCAUUGAAAUUAAAAAAAGACGAUAAAAACUGCAGAGGAAAUAAAAUAGACACCAAUAGCAGUGAGACAAAUAAGACUGCAAAUGUGAAAAGCGGUAGGAGACUCCA